rnacentral:lncRNA from 1 species
GAUAUACUAGGUUGUUUGCAUUAGAAUUCACGAAUAUGUUGCAUUGCAUAUUUUGUUGUUGAUGUGGAUGAACGUUGGAUGAUCCAUAGCCCUCGACCUAUGAUGUGACGAUAUGAUAUGUACGGUAUGGAAUGAAAGACUAGUGGGACCCAUUCUACAUUCGCUGGCACUAUGUAAGAGAAAGACCAGGACCCAUUCUACGUUCUGGCACAUUGGAAUGUUAUGUUAUGCUAUGUAAGAGAAAGACCAUGAC